CGGGGGCGGAGCGCACCCGGGGGAGGGGCCACGACGGGGGGCGGAGUCAGCGGGGCGCGCGCGCGUGCGCGCGCGCGCGUGUGUGCGACCUAAGACGAGAUGUGUGCGUGUUGGCGCGCGUUUGUAAGACUCGUGUGUGUGUGUGUGUGUGUGUGUGUGUGUGUGUGUGUGUGUGUGUGUGUGUGUGAGAGAGACUACAUUAGCAGACUAUGUAUGUGUGUGAGAUUGUGUAAGAUGAGAGUCUGGGUGUGUAUGAGAUUGUGUGUGUGAGACUGUUAGAGGGUGUGAGAGUGAUUAUGUACUACAUAACAGAGAAAUUGGAAGAGAUUGUAUGUGUGUGACAGGGUGUGUAUGUGUGUGUGAAAGUGUUAGGAAAGGAGUGUGUGAGAGAGAAAGUGUGUGUAUGUAAGAGACUGUGAAGGAGAGAGCACGUGUGCGUUGGGGUGUGUGUGUGACACACAGUCACGCUCCAGUGGGGUACCUCUGUUCUUGCCUGGCCCUGGGGCUGUGCCUGGCUGUGCUGCUGCAUGCCUGUCCUGAGUAGCGGUGCAUCCUGUGCAAAUAGAAGCCUCCAUGGAAGCCCAAAAGGACAGAGGUUCCGAGAGCUUGUGAGCUUGUAAAGAUUUCGAUUUGCAAGGAUUGGUGUAUGAUGAUGAUACGAACUUGGAACCACAGGAGAACCACCUUACAAAGCCAAGUAACGAAGUGGACCUAGUGGAAUACACGACUGACAGAGGAAUAAUUUUAGCCAGUUCCUCUAAAACUUAAGUUACCCAUGUGUGCCUUUUUCAGUUAUGUUGGCCAAUGAAUCUGUCACCAUAAUGUUCUCUCCCACCCCUAGCUGCCACCCCUGCCAACCCCUUUUCUCAUAAGCCAUCUUGGGAUGGCUUCAUCACUUACUAAAGGAAUUAGGAUGAUACAGGCUGUAACUGAGAUACAGAAGAAAUGAGUAGUUUUGCUGCUAUUAGACUGAAGACAUUUGGAUAGUUCAUUUAAAGUCUGGCAUUGAAUUCCAUCAUCAGUAAAAUGAGCAGGUUGAUGUAGAAAAUUUUAAAAACCUCUUCCUGCUUUAAAAUUGUAUUAUUUCCAUAUGACUUUUCCUGCCUCCAGAUCUAGCCUGUAUGUCUUGGCUGCUGUCCUUUGCAUUUAUUCCAGUUGGUUAAGUUGCUCUUAUUAGAGAGGUUAAUUCUCAAAAGCAAAAGGAUAGAAGCAGUUUUCUUAUCUGCAAAUUCCUUUAUCACUUCAUUUAAAUUACCAAAGGUUAUUUUCUCCACCCUCCUCAAAUUUUAAAAAUGGUUUAAUGGACAUAUAAAUUGUUCUAUUAGUAUUCUAAGGCAUCUAUAAUUUUAAGACCCAUUACCCAGUGAAAAUUAGGUCUAUUACUCUUUUGUCUCCAACUUGUUAUUUUGAAAGAUUUCAAACCUUCAGAAAAGUUGCAGGAAUAGUACAAUGAAUACCAAGAGAGUUUUCUCCCAGAUUGGCCAGAUGUUAAUAUUUUGUCCUACUUGCUUUCCUGUGUGUAUUUUCCUGAGUAAGUCUGUUACUCUCAAUGUAUGUUUAAAAUAGCAUGUAAAGAAAACUAAGGACUUAAAAAAAACAAAAACAAACAAACAAACAACUAAGAACUUCUCAGAGGAGUGCUGCCCUUGCCUGGAAACAUUUAGAAGGAUCUGGAAAAGUGGAGGUGGUAGAGGCUACAAGCUAACAAUUGAGAGUCUUGACUGCCUGAAUUCCAAUCCUGACUCGCUCUAAUCCUCAGUUUUCAUAUUUGCAAUAUGUGGGUACUAUUGGCACUUAAGUACAAAAUUAAAACAUUAAUUAGUAUUAAUAUUAUGUGAGUAGAACUAAUAACAUGAGGUGUACGUGAUUUUUCAUUGCAUAUGAGAAACCAAUGGUUAUUUCUGCUUUGAAUACAGAUGAGCUUGGACCUUGAGUUGGUUAGCUCAAAAGGGAAUACAAAAACCUGAAACAGAAAUUAAAAAGUAUGUGUUUUUGGCUGGGCAAGAAAUCAGACCCUAUGCUGAACCAGCAUCUGCCAAUAUGGUCCUAGUGGAAGUAAAUCCACAUAAGGAAAGAAGAUGGGUUUCAUCUCAUGUGCCAGUUAUUCUUGGUGACAUCCUGGUACACGGUAUAAGAUGGCAUUUGAGAACUUUUUUGGGAAGGAAUGACUGCCAUGGCAAGGGAAAUGUGAGCUAUGGCACAAGUGCCAUCUAUUUGCCAUCUUUGAUUUAGGUAUGAAAGACAAAGAAGGCAAGUUUCAGGAAUAGGGAGUGACUUUGACAACUGGCAAAUAAAUGCUACUAAGACUGAGGGAAGAGGAAAAAUUGGUAGAUUUAAAUGAAGUAGUCUAUCAAGCCUGUUAGUAAACCAAUAAUACAUGUAUAUUUCUAUCCUAGCAAUUACCACAUUAUAGUAACUCCUUUGUUUAUGUGUUACUUUCUCUAAUUGAGAAAAGUCUCUAUAUGUUUCUAGAGAGAAGAUCCAUUGUUAUCCUUUGUGCUUUACCAAGUGCCACGUAUGUAGUAGGUACAUAAUCAGUGUUUGAGCUUAUUCAUCUAUAUCUAAAUUUUGAUUAGGUUUGCAUUAACGGCUUACUCUGUAAAACUCAUCCCAUAUCUGUGCUCAUUUUGAGACCUGCUGGUCUGCUUAGUUUCCUAUUAAAAAUUUUUGGAAAAUUCCCAUCUUGUAUCAAGUAAGCUAAAACCAAAAAGAUUGGAGACAUGUCUUAUGAUUUUGACUUUGUAAAACUACAAUUAAUUUUAUGAGGUCUAUACGUACUUUUAUAUAUGUUUCAACAGAACUUUUACUUUUCUAGCAUACUGCCUCUUAUCUCUAUAAAAAUGUUAUGUCAAAAUUCAUUUGAGUAUAAUAGCUAUUAUUCUAUUUGAUUGAAUAGAAGGUGAUAGGGCCACACUGAUCUAUUGGCCCUUUUCCUCUAAUGGCUCAAAAGAAUCAUUCUCCAGCUGCUGAGCACAAUGGUACACAUGAUGACACUUAUAAAUACAAUACACUAUUUAGGUUUAAAUUGUUCAACUCAUCUGUGAAGUUCAAUUAUCAGGGAGGAUAAGAGUAAAGAGUUGAUACAGGUUGUUAGACAUAUAUUUUCAAAUUGCACCUAUGAGAUGUAUGGGCCUAAAGGAUUUUUGUAACUAAAAUGUACACAUUUAACUCUCACAUAGAUUUUCAGAAAUUCAUUAUGUGCAAAAUCAGGGGCCACCCCUAUCUAUCUAUCUAUCUAUCUAUCUAUCUAUCUAUCUGUUCAUUUGAUAGUUGCUUCUUUUCUCAAAUUGUACUUGAUUAUCUUCAGGUUUUUCUGUGUUAAUGAUGUUUUGCUGGGUUUUGUCUCUGCUUCUUAAUAACAUUUUCCGUAUAGAACACAAUUAAGAAUGAGGAACUAAGCAAAAAGUCUUCUGAGAAACGCUUAAAUCUUUUGAACACUGUAGUACCCUACUCAGGAAAAAAAAAAUGCUGCUUGCGUCUUCAUUCUGCUUAUUCAUAAUCUAUUCAUAAUUUUAACAAUCUUGGUGUAAAAAGACACCUAUGAAUCAUUUAAGUUCUGUGUACAGUGUGAUUGUGCAUGAAAUUAUUUAUGGGAGAAGGGCACAAAGAAUAUUAUGAGACCUAUUCUCACUUGCUUAAACCUUGAGAAAGCAUAGAAAGCAUUUAUACAGGGGAAGAGCCAAGAUGGUGGAACAGCAUGGAAGUUUUUUGUGUGUCUCGUGUCCAUGAAAUACAGCCAGACCAACACUAAACCAUCCGACACACCUAGAAAACUGAU